AGCCGAAGCGAAAGCGAGUCUGAAUAGGGCGUCAAGUUGGUGGUGGUAGACGCGAAACCUUAGUGAUCUACCCAUGGGCAGGGUGAAGGUUUGGUAACACAAACUGGAGGCCCGAACCGGUAAACGUUGAAAAGUUUUCGGAUGACCUGUGGGUAGGGGUGAAAGGCCAAUCAAACUGGGAAAUAGCUCGUACUCUCCGAAAUGCAUUUAGGUGCAGCCUCUGUUGUUUUGUUCUAGAGGUAGAGCUACUGAUUGGAUGCGAGGGCUUCACCGCCUAUCAAAUCCGGCCAAACUCCGAAUGCUAGAACAUGAAGACAGGGAGUGAGCCAGCGGGUGCUAAGGUCCGUUGACGAAAGAGGGAGAACUCAGACCAUCAGCUAAGGUCCCCAAUUAUAUGCUAAGUUGGAAUUAAAACGGGGUGGGACUGCUUAGACAGCUAGGAUGUUGGCUUGGAAGCAGCCAUUCAUUUAAAGAGUGCGUAACAGCUCACUAGUCGAGCGGUCCUGCAUGGAUAAUACGCGGGCAUAAGCAUAUAACCGAAGCUAUGGGAUUGUAGAUGAUACAAUCGGUAGGAGAGCAUUCCAUUCAGCAUAGAAGCAGUAUCGUGAGGUAUUGUGGAGCGGAUGGAAAAGCAAAUGUAGGCAUAAGUAACGAUAAUGCGGGUGAGAACCCCGCACGCCGAAAGAUCAAGGAUUCCCCGGCAAUGUCAAUCAUCCGGGGGUAAGUCGGAUCCUAAGGGUAAGCCGAGUGGCGAUCCCGAUGGCAAACAGGUUAAUAUUCCUGUACUGAUCAUAACUGCGAUGCAGCGACGCAGAGGUGACACUGCUGCGUACUGACGGAAUAGUACGUUGAAACCCGUAUUCUUUGAUACCGGUAGUGAAGCACGCCGGUAGAGAUGAAAGGUGAUAGUACCGCAAUGCUUCGGUUGCGCGGAUAAUGCAGGUAAGCUGACUGCCAAGAAAACCUGCUAAGCUUCAGGUAAUGAUCAUCCGUACUGUAAACGGACACACGUGAUCAGGUAGAAAAUACUAAGGCGCUCGAGAGAUUCAUGGUUAAGGAACUAGGCAAAAUGGUCCUGUAACUUCGGGAUAAAGGACGCUCUUGUGAAAGAGCCGCAGAUAAUAGGCCCAGGCGACUGUUUACCAAAAACACAUGGCUAUGCUAAUUCGCAAGAAGAUGUAUAUGGCCUGACACCUGCCCGGUGCCGGAAGGUUAAGAGGAGAGCUCAGAGGUAACUCGAAGGUUUGAAUUGAAGCCCCGGUAAACGGCGGCCGUAACUAUAACGGUCCUAAGGUAGCGAAAUUCCUUGUCGGGUAAGUUCCGACC
rnacentral:rRNA from 1 species